GACGAACGCUGGCGGCGUGCCUAAUACAUGCAAGUAGAACGCACAGUUUAUACCGUAGCUUGCUACACCAUAGACUGUGAGUUGCGAACGGGUGAGUAACGCGUAGGUAACCUGCCUGGUAGCGGGGGAUAACUAUUGGAAACGAUAGCUAAUACCGCAUAAUAUUAAUUAUUGCAUGAUAAUUAAUUGAAGGGUGCAAUUGCACCACUACCAGAUGGACCUGCGUUGUAUUAGCUAGUAGGUGAGGUAACGGCUCACCUAGGCGACGAUACAUAGCCGACCUGAGAGGGUGAUCGGCCACACUGGGACUGAGACACGGCCCAGACUCCUACGGGAGGCAGCAGUAGGGAAUCUUCGGCAAUGGACGAAAGUCUGACCGAGCAACGCCGCGUGAGUGAAGAAGGUUUUCGGAUCGUAAAGCUCUGUUGUAAGAGAAGAACGGGUGUGAGAGUGGAAAGUUCACACUGUGACGGUAUCUUACCAGAAAGGGACGGCUAACUACGUG
rnacentral:rRNA from 1 species